UCUCAUUUCGAAAUAACACAAAGGGCCCUGCCCACGUUCCUAAACAUGGCUUUAUAGUUGAAAGUGAAAUCAACUGUUUGCAUUUGUUUACUUUAAAAAUUAUCUGUACCCUCUUAGUACUAAUAAUUGGCCUUUUUUUUUUUUCUAUUUCAGAUCUCUUUCUCCUUCAUGUGAUACUCAAGGGUGAGACUCUGAACACAGCAUUGUGAUCCUCAAUUUUUUAACUGAAGGGGACUGAGAGAAGAUGAGAAGACAGAGGGCAGAGAAAAAAUAAACUGGAAGACAUCACCUGGCAGCUGCUCAAAGCACAUGUUAAAUAACUCAAAGCCUGCAUUGCCUGUCUGAAUCCUUGAAGGGGGACGGAAAGGAUCCCUUUUAGGACCACCUCCACAUACUUGCAAAACGGAGAUGAGGUGUAUGAACCCAGAAUUAGCUACUGCUGACAGUUCAAGCAAGACAAUGUGUUCCUGGACAUGGUUUCUGACCAGCUCCAGCAUCACCCCUUCACCGAG